rnacentral:rRNA from 1 species
UACAGAGGGUGCGAGCGUUGUCCGGAAUCACUGGGCGUAAAGGGCGCGUAGGUGGCGACCCAAGUCGAUGGUGAAAGCUCGCCGCUCAACGGCGAGUCGGCCACCGAUACUGGGUUGCUGGAGCACUGUAGAGGCAGAUGGAAUUCCGGGUGUAGCGGUGGAAUGCGUAGAGAUCCGGAAGAACACCGGUGGCGAAGGCGGUCUGCUGGGCAGUUGCUGACACUGAGGCGCGAAAGCGUGGGGAGCAAACAGG